UUGGAGGGCAGUCUGGUGCCAGCAGCCGCGGUAAUUCCAGCUCCAAUAGCGUAUAUUAAAGUUGUUGCAGUUAAAAAGCUCGUAGUUGAAUUUCGGGGUUCAUACGUUGGUCGGGCUUUUGGGUCUGUACUGGCGUAAUGGAUUCCUACCUUCUGAAUAACCGGCAUGCCAUUAAUUUGGUGCGCCGGGGAAGCAGGACUGUUACCUUGAAAAAAUUAGAGUGCUUAAAGCAGGCUAUCGCCUGAAUACAUUAGCAUGGAAUAAUAAAAUAGGACGGCAUGGUUCUAUUUUGUUGGUUUCUAGGAUCACCGUAAUGAUUAAUAGGGAUAGUUGGGGGCAUUAGUAUUCAAUUGUCAGAGGUGAAAUUCUUGGAUUUAUUGAAGACUAACUUCUGCGAAAGCAUUUGCCAAGGAUGUUUUCAUUAAUCAAGAACGAAAGUUAGGGGAUCGAAGACGAUCAGAUACCGUCGUAGUCUUAACCAUAAACUAUGCCGACUAGGGAUCGGACGAUGUUAAUUUUUUAAUGACUCAUUCGGCGCCUUACGGGAAAC
rnacentral:rRNA from 1 species